AUGCGCGCUGAGGCCUGCCUGACCGACCUUCAGCGGGGCUGUGGCUACCAUGUUCUCUCGCGCGGGUGUCGCUGGGCUGUCGGCCUGGACCUUGCAGCCGCAAUGGAUUCAAGUUCGAAAUAUGGCAACUUUGAAAGAUAGUAAGUAUGUUGUUUGUCUCAAUAUGUGAAUUGAGAAAAACUAAAUUUUGACAAAUACAAAUACUUUCAAAAAUAUACUGCUUUAGCCCAUUGUGUAUUUGAUCAAAACUGACCAAAUAGAUUUCCAUUGUAUGUUUGGGACAUUGGACUUGUUCUGAAAAGACCAGUAAGAAAGGACACCUGAGAAAGCUGCGUUCUGUUGUUUGUAGAAUGAUCAUGAUAUAACUAGAAAAAAUUAUACCAGUGUUGGUGUAGGUGGGUGUAUGUGUGGGAAGGGGUAAAUCAUGUUAUAUAUAAAUAAUGUUAUGGAAUAUGUGGUUAAGGCAACUUUCAAUACCAUUUAAUGUUUUAAAUGUAUAUUAUUGUCUUAUGUUGCCAUUUGCUUGUCCUAAGUAGUAGCUAGUUUUGCCUUCCUUUUAUUAGUACUAUUUCU
rnacentral:sRNA from 1 species